UUAUUAAUAAGCUUGUUAGGUUGC
rnacentral:piRNA from 1 species